rnacentral:lncRNA from 1 species
UGGAGGCCCCAAGAGUUAGGGGUUUAAAUUUGAUGUGUAUUGAAUUCACAAACAUUUAUUGAGUAUCUACUGUGUGUCAGGUACUGUGAAAUUGUGCAGGACAUUCACAGAUGAACAAGUCACAGGGCAAGUUGGACACAUCAAUAGCUCAUGCGUUGAUGUGGACCUAUGAUGGCUUCAGAGACUAUUAACUUGGCCAGGCUCAACUGCAUUUCCUGGAAUUAUCUUUCCUGCAUGUUUGCAGUUCAGAUGGACCACAGGGAAGAUUCUUGGAAGGUUCUUGCAAGAUUCAGAAGGCAAGAGAGGCUGCAGCCGUGUUUUGCAGUUGACACACGUUGCUGCUGAUCUGCUGACUCACCUCACUGGAGUGAAGCAGCCUGCCACAACACCCGCAACCUUCCCCGGCAACUUCUUGCUACUUUUCGACUCCCAGCCGCGUGUAUGUGUUCAGCUCUGUGAUGAAGGGCUAGGCUUCUGCAGGACAGCCUCACCACUGUGGUCAGAGGCAACAAGAAUAGCCACGGGCUUCAGGCUGCCAUCCUGGGGCUCUAGCUUGUGCUCGUGGGUUCUUGCUCUCCCUACUUGACAUCUGCCUUUCCUCUCGACUGCCUAUCCUGUGGACCUGACACCAGCAUCAGACUUGACACGCAGCCUGACAAAGACUGCUUACCCGGUUCCCACAAAUGCAUAAGCCAAUUCUCCAUAACAAAUCCCAUAAAAUAAUUUACAUGUAUAUAACUCCUAUUUCCACUUUUCCAGUUGAACUCCGGCAGAUUUACCCAUCCUGUGCUAGGCACUGUUGAGGACUCUGAGGAUACAAUGAUGAACAAAACCAGUGUAAUUCCUGUCUUCCUCUCCCCCACCCCACCAUUCACUUUCUAGGAGGAGGAAUCAGAAAAUAAACAACGAAUAAACAAUGCAAUCCCAGAGAGUGAUAAAUGCCAGGAGAAAACCAAAAAGAGUGGCCUGCUCGGACCAGGGGUAGUCCAGGGAUGCUUCUCAGAACAAAUGGCAUUUGAGCUGAGCCCUGAAGGGAAGGAGGGGACAGCUAUGCAGGAGCACUCUGGACAAGACGCACUUCAGGGCGAUGCUCCUAGGUGGCAUGAGCCUGGAGUCUUCGAGGAACAGAAAGGAGCCAGGCGGACCGGAGGGCCUUGAGGAGGGAGAGUGCGCAGGGUAAGCUGGAACCCAAGGCUGGCUCCAACUUUGUUGGGCUUGGAAGACAAAGCAGGGAGUUCGGAUUUUACUCUAAGAGCAUCCUGGAGUUAAGGGAUCUUUCAAAGCUGGCUGAGUGAAAGCCCACACACAACUUUGCCUUUGAAAAGUGGGGAUAAAAUGUGGUCUUGCUCUGUGUGUGUGUGUGUGCGUUGGGGUGGGGGGCGAUUUGUGUCUUGGUUUUUGCCUCGGCGUGACUUACAGACCUUUCCAUCCUGCAUCGGUGCCGGGAGAGCCCAGCUCCCUGCUGCUGUCACCAGAAUUCCAUCUUUCCAAGGAAAUCAGGCUUUCUCCUGCUAAGGAGUUCUGUCCAGGACUCUGAUAAAAGCAGUAUGUGAAGCUAAAUAACUCGUGUGAUUUUACACUUCAUUUCCUUGGGAUGCCAUUAGGAACAUCAAGCACUUCUGUCUUUAUUUGACACGAUUUCCUACCCUGUUCUGCCUUGGAACAGAAGAAAAAUGAAAAGAGAGAAAUGGUAUUGGGAAGUUGCAUUGGGAGUGGUAGGGCAGCUGUUUCAAGGCAGGGCUUUUGGAGUCCAGCAGAGGGAGAGGCUUCCGAAACAGGACAGAUGGCAGCCACCUUCCUAAGGGGUCACUGGUCAGCCUCACGUUCUCUGGCUCCUGUUCCAAGCCUCAGCAUUUCUGUCUAAUUGAUUUAGAAAUAGUGUAUUUAUUGGACAGAUGCCUAGAGAUCAUGUAGCCCAGAGAAGGGAAGCUGUUUGCCCAAGGUCACACAGCAGCUCAGUAGCAUAGUUUGGCCUUGCAGCUAGCUCUUUCGACUGCCAGAGCAGCCUGGAGCACCCCUUAGAGAAGAGUUAGUGUCUUCCCCAGGUCCCCUAUAAAGACCAGCACCUCCUGCAUUUGGUUCUCUGGGACAAUUGGUGUCUUUUCUCACUGUGGAGAUGUGAUCACUUAGAUCUUCAUUUAGUUCACAAGCAGGGGUGGAGCAGGGUGGGGUGCACAGGCUGGAGGGAACCAACGCAGGAAGCAUAUGACAGAGUAAAAACACAGCCCACCCGGCAUGCCGUGCCAUGUGCCCUCACUGCAUUGGAUGAAUGGGUCAGUAGGUGGAUGGUGGUCACACGUGAGUGCUGGCUUCACUCUCUUCUCUCCCAUAAUUUAAAGACCUGAAGUUUCACCUCCAGGAAGACUUCCUGGACUAGUGGAAGAUCAAUCUUUGGCCUGAACCGGUUGCCUAGGCAACUUCCACUGUUUCUGGACUCAUGAGUCCUUCUAGUAAGGGUCCCAGGACUGAGCCUCAAUGGCCUGAAGAGAGUCAUGUGCCCACACCUGUGACUACUUAGUGGCUAUCACCAGGGGUGUGAGGCUCAUCUGGUCUAGCCUGGUCACCUGCUCACGACAGAGCUAGAGCUGGACCAGGCCCUCCAGAUUUGUAGACUGAAGCAGCAAGGUGCUGUUCUGAGGAAAAUCAGGGUGCUGUUACCAGAACACCCUGGCAAGCAAGAAAGAGCAGCGAGCCCUACAGACGGCAAACAAGGAUUUCCUUAUCUCCUGGUCGGAACCACUAAGAACCGUGGAACCAUGUGUACUUAAUUCAUGUCUGUACUGUCCUCACGCGGAGUGAGGGCUUUGUAAAUAUUUGCUGAGUGAAUGAAAGAAUAAAUGAAUAGUAAAUGAAUGAAUGAACCUCCCGAGUGAUAAAGGCAGUCUUUACGGUGGGCACGAGGCAGGGACUACUGUGCGCAGGGAACGGCCGCGGGCUCCACACUUGCUGUGAUUGGCCGGCGAGACAAUCUCGGGUGCCCAGGCUGUUUGGACAGCACGCAGGCCCACAGCAGGCAGGAUGGCACCCCUGCCAAGGGCACUUGGGCUUGAAGUUAGAGCAGGGAGGCUGGCGUGCUGGUGGCAGGGCUGAGGCUCAGGGUGCAGCUCAGUGUGAAAUGAGGGCUGCUCUUCUCAGACCUGUCAGCCUUGGCCAGCGGCCCUCGUCCUAGGGAAACUUUGGAGGCAACAGAUGGAUCUGGAGUGACAGGAGAGAGCCCCUGGCCAUGCUAAUUUCCCUCACUCUGCGGAGGCUGAGCUGGCGCAGAUCAGAAUGGAGAACCGAUAGGCAUUUCUGCCGGGAUAGGGGUGGUUGCAGAAGGCCCGUAGAACAUCCGGGAGUGAGGAUGGGGCAGCAUCUCUAUGUACCCUGGAGGCGGGCCUCAGCCUGGCUGGUGUCCCCUUGCUUUCCUUAGUCCAGCCCUCCAGG